UGGCGAACGGGUGAGUAACACGUGGGUGAUCUGCCCUGCACUCUGGGAUAAGCCUGGGAAACUUGGGUCUAAUACCGGAUAGGACCAUGCUUUAGUGUGUGUGGUGGAAAGUUUUUUCGGUGUAGGAUGAGCCCGCGGCCUAUCAGCUUGUUGGUGGGGUAAUGGCCUACCAAGGCGGCGACGGGUAGCCGGACUGAGAGGUUGUCGGCCACAUUGGGACUGAGAUACGGCCCAG
rnacentral:rRNA from 1 species